rnacentral:rRNA from 1 species
AGUGAACGCUGGCGGUAGGCCUAACACAUGCAAGUCGAACGGCAGCACAGUAAGAGCUUGCUCUUACGGGUGGCGAGUGGCGGACGGGUGAGGAAUACAUCGGAAUCUACUUUUUCGUGGGGGAUAACGUAGGGAAACUUACGCUAAUACCGCAUACGACCUACGGGUGAAAGCAGGGGAUCUUCGGACCUUGCGCGAUUGAAUGAGCCGAUGUCGGAUUAGCUAGUUGGCGGGGUAAAGGCCCACCAAGGCGACGAUCCGUAGCUGGUCUGAGAGGAGGAUCAGCGACACUGGAACUGAGACACGGUCCAGACGCCUACGGGAGGCAGCAGUGGGGAAUAUUGGACAAUGGGGGCAAGCCUGAUCCAGCCAUACCGCGUGGGUGAAGACGGCCUUCGGGUUGUAAAGCCCUUUUGUUGGGAAAGAAAAGCAGCAGGUUAAUACCCCGCUGUUCUGACGGUACCCAAAGAAUAAGCACCGGCUAACUUCGUG